rnacentral:lncRNA from 1 species
UUCACGUACUAAAAUAUUCUAUUAGUAUUGAGAUACGCGUCGUUUUGUGAGGCUCUAAAGGUCAAUUCUUCGAGUGGAGUGCUAGUUUGCCUGUCGAUUUUUGCUGUACAUUGUUAAGGGAUACUAAAACAUUUAAUUCAUUAUAUUGACUCAUUAUAAUUACAUAAUUACGUCGGGGUUCUAUUUUGAAUUUAAUUGUAUGUCCAACUUUUUUCUUUAAAACUUAUUUAUGCAUGUACAGCACAAGUAACGGCGCCCACUCAUUGCGUUUGCAUGCAUUGCUUAAAGUUGUGAAUGAAAGUUAUUCUCCUCUUGUUUUUUGCUUGCAUUUUUUUGUUGGAGAAACGAUACCAAGGGAAGUGGAGUGCCAGUUUACUUGUCGAUUACUGCUGGACAUUGUUAGGGGAUACUCCAAAAACAAAAUAUCGCCGUAAAACAUCGACAGUAACAUUUUAAGGUGAUAGAAGAAAUCAGCAGCUAUUUUCUGCAUUUUUGGCAAUUUUAACAUAAUAAAUACUUGUUCCGAUCGCCUAUAUCGGGCAGCAGUAGCAUAUGUAUAUGUAGCUGCUAUGUGAACUGUACAGUUGCUAUUCAAAUUGACCUUUUAAAAUCAUAAUGACUGAACAUAUAAAGGUAUUAAUUUAAAUGAAGAUUAUUAUGUUGUGUGCUACACUUUUAUUUACGAAAACCCUUCAAGGGAAAUUGAGUACCCAAUUACUAAAAAAUUUAGUUCAAACUGAGUGUUCAAUUGACAUGAUACGAUUUACUUAAAUUCCAUACAAACCCAUGGGGUAGUCAACAAAUUCGUUUUCUAUUAUAUAUUAAUAAAAUAUAAAAUAUUUCAAUGCGUUCUUACUAUAUUUAUUUAUUCUUUAGAGUCUAGCAAUUUACGAGCGUCGAAACCUUCGACGUAAUGCCAUUCUACGUGCAAAUCAGGUGCGUGAGAUCCAAGGCAGGAACAAUCGUCAGCGUCGCACUGACAUGCAACACUCCCGAGUCAUAAGUGGAGCUAAUAACAAUCGCAAAUGUUGUUAAGUACAGAAAUAAACAUCGGUUAAAUUGCACAACAAAAACAUUAAACUGGUAUCAAUAGAAACUAAAGGUCAAAAGUAAACAAUCAAUUCAAAACUACAAAACAAUUGAAACAAAAAUAAUUAUUAUUAGGAUAAUACAAAUAAUACAAAAAAAUCUUGGAUAAAAAUAUAAACCAUUUAUUUAUCCUUUUAAGUAAACGAUUUUAUUAUUACGUUUGAAUAAAAUAAAUAUAAAGUUUAUGGUCAAUGCUCAGAAAACAAUAUUUAAAUAUUAUGUAAUUAUGUAUAUAUGUAUAUGUUUGCAGCGUCUACGCAUAGUACAGGCAAUCUUAACCUUGUAAUGUUAUUGCAGUUAAGUUCAUGAAGAAUUAUUUGAAACACUUUCAUUAGAUGGUUAAAAUAAAGAACCAAUUUAUUUUGAUAUUA